rnacentral:rRNA from 1 species
GAUGAACGCUGGCGGCGUGCCUAAUACAUGCAAGUCGAGCGAACGGACGAGAAGCUUGCUUCUCUGAUGUUAGCGGCGGACGGGUGAGUAACACGUGGAUAACCUACCUAUAAGACUGGGAUAACUUCGGGAAACCGGAGCUAAUACCGGAUAAUAUUUUGAACCGCAUGGUUCAAAAGUGAAAGACGGUCUUGCUGUCACUUAUAGAUGGAUCCGCGCUGCAUUAGCUAGUUGGUAAGGUAACGGCUUACCAAGGCAACGAUGCAUAGCCGACCUGAGAGGGUGAUCGGCCACACUGGAACUGAGACACGGUCCAGACUCCUACGGGAGGCAGCAGUAGGGAAUCUUCCGCAAUGGGCGAAAGCCUGACGGAGCAACGCCGCGUGAGUGAUGAAGGUCUUCGGAUCGUAAAACUCUGUUAUUAGGGAAGAACAUAUGUGUAAGUAACUGUGCACAUCUUGACGGUACCUAAUCAGAAAGCCACGGCUAACUACGUGCCAGCAGCCGCGGUAAUACGUAGGUGGCAAGCGUUAUCCGGAAUUAUUGGGCGUAAAGCGCGCGUAGGCGGUUUUUUAAGUCUGAUGUGAAAGCCCACGGCUCAACCGUGGAGGGUCAUUGGAAACUGGAAAACUUGAGUGCAGAAGAGGAAAGUGGAAUUCCAUGUGUAGCGGUGAAAUGCGCAGAGAUAUGGAGGAACACCAGUGGCGAAGGCGACUUUCUGGUCUGUAACUGACGCUGAUGUGCGAAAGCGUGGGGAUCAAACAGGAUUAGAUACCCUGGUAGUCCACGCCGUAAACGAUGAGUGCUAAGUGUUAGGGGGUUUCCGCCCCUUAGUGCUGCAGCUAACGCAUUAAGCACUCCGCCUGGGGAGUACGACCGCAAGGUUGAAACUCAAAGGAAUUGACGGGGACCCGCACAAGCGGUGGAGCACGUGGUUUAAUUCGAAGCAACGCGAAGAACCUUACCAAAUCUUGACAUCCUUUGACAACUCUAGAGAUAGAGCCUUCCCCUUCGGGGGACAAAGUGACAGGUGGUGCAUGGUUGUCGUCAGCUCGUGUCGUGAGAUGUUGGGUUAAGUCCCGCAACGAGCGCAACCCUUAAGCUUAGUUGCCAUCAUUAAGUUGGGCACUCUAAGUUGACUGCCGGUGACAAACCGGAGGAAGGUGGGGAUGACGUCAAAUCAUCAUGCCCCUUAUGAUUUGGGCUACACACGUGCUACAAUGGACAAUACAAAGGGCAGCGAAACCGCGAGGUCAAGCAAAUCCCAUAAAGUUGUUCUCAGUUCGGAUUGUAGUCUGCAACUCGACUACAUGAAGCUGGAAUCGCUAGUAAUCGUAGAUCAGCAUGCUACGGUGAAUACGUUCCCGGGUCU